rnacentral:lncRNA from 1 species
CCCUCAUGUGUAGUCUUUGGAAGCUCUAGAGAUCUUGAUUUUUAUAUGUUGUCUUCUUUCCAAAGCUUUUAAAUACUGAGAACCAUAGUCCUGCAGAAUGUGUAUUACUGGAUAUAUGCUACAUCAGACGUCUGUGCAGCUUUUUACUUUGGGAGGCAGAGGCUGGGGCCAGAGGAACUGUGGGUUCACAGCAUGUUACAGACGUCAUGUAAGGAAAGAAGGAGCAGGCAGAUAGAGGAUCUGCUGAGAACAAUUUUCCUUGUACAUGUGUUCCCAUCCCUCUCUGGGAAGCUUCUCCCAGUGCAAACUUCUCCUGAUGCAUGUGUACAUGACACUCUGCUGAGGAAUACUGGAAAUCCUGUCGCACCAAAGAGCUGA